CGCUGCAUGUGGCUGUGGAGGCAGCUCCACGGUUCCUACAAGGGGUAUAUGACCCCGUCCCCAUCCUCUCUGUCCAAUGCCCCAUCAGGAUUUCUAUAAGCGCCAGUAGGCGGAGAUGUGACGAUCAUGUGGGAGGGAGUGUGGUCUCUCCCGUUUGGCCAUCCAUCUCACUGCUAUAUAAGAGCUGCACACUUAAUUAUCUGGCCACAACCAAGUAUCAGUCGAGUAGAAGCAGAGCAGAACCUUACCACCCUCCUGUUCAUUCAGGCGCCCUAUCACAUAGCUCAGGAUGGACAAGGUGAAGAGCCAUGGCAGCAAGCACCAGGGAGGAUCAGGAUCAGGAUCUGGAGGGCUGAGCAGGAUGCUGAGGCAGCACAAGGCCAGGCUCUACAUCAUCCGCCGAUGCGUCGUCAUGCUCAUCUGCUCUUGAUCUGAUUCUUCUUUCUAGCUUAGGCUUGACAGAUUCUUUGGUGUGCAAGUACAUACUACGCCAUAACAUAGGGUAGUUUAGAGGUUCAAAUGGAUGUUGCUGGCCAUUAGUUUGGAUGGAAGUUUCUCUGCGGUAUGGUGCUCCUAAGUCCUGCAAUGGCAAGGAUGUGCAAGUACCAAUUUGUCGUGUAUCGGAGUGUUGUAUGUUUGCUCUAUCAUCACAAGUGAAUGAGAUCUCGAGGAAAAAAAGAGGUUACCCACGGCAUUUCAUUUUA